GUGCCAGCAGCCGCGGUAAUACGAGGGGAGCUAGCGUUGUUCGGAAUUACUGGGCGUAAAGGGCGUGUAGGCGGUACCAUAAGUCAGAUGUGAAAGCCCUAGGCUUAACCUAGGAGGUGCAUUUGAUACUGUGGAACUAGAGAUCGAGAGAGGAAAGUGGAAUUACGAGUGUAGAGGUGAAAUUCGUAGAUAUUCGUAAGAACACCAGUGGCGAAGGCGACUUUCUGGCUCGAUACUGACGCUAAGGCGCGAAAGCGUGGGGAGCAAACAGGAUUAGAUACCCCGGUAGUCC
rnacentral:rRNA from 1 species